rnacentral:rRNA from 1 species
GACGAACGCUGGCGGCGUGCUUAACACAUGCAAGUCGAACGGAAAGGCCCUGCUUUUGUGGGGUGCUCGAGUGGCGAACGGGUGAGUAACACGUGAGUAACCUGCCCUUGACUUUGGGAUAACUUCAGGAAACUGGGGCUAAUACCGGAUAGGAGCUCCUGCUGCAUGGUGGGGGUUGGAAAGUUUCGGCGGUUGGGGAUGGACUCGCGGCUUAUCAGCUUGUUGGUGGGGUAGUGGCUUACCAAGGCUUUGACGGGUAGCCGGCCUGAGAGGGUGACCGGCCACAUUGGGACUGAGUUACGGCCCAGACUCCUACGGGAGGUAGCAGUGGGGAAUAUUGCACAAUGGGCGGAAGCCUGAUGCAGCAACGCCGCGUGCGGGAUGACGGCCUUCGGGUUGUAAACCGCUUUCGCCUGUGACGAAGCGUGAGUGACGGUAAUGGGUAAAGAAGCACCGGCUAACUACGUG